GUUGUAGUGGUCGAGUGGUUAAGGCGAUGAACUAGAAAUCUUUUGGGAUCUUCCCGCGCAGGUUCGAAUCCUGCCGACAUCG
rnacentral:tRNA from 1 species